GACGAACGCUGGCGGCGUGCUUAACACAUGCAAGUCGAACGGAAAGGCCCUGCUUUUGUGGGGUGCUCGAGUGGCGUACGGGUGAGUAACACGUGAGUAACCUGCCCUUGACUUUGGGAUAACUUCAGGAAACUGGGGCUAAUACCGGAUAGGAGCUCCUGCUGCAUGGUGGGGGUUGGAAAGUUUCGGCGGUUGGGGAUGGACUCGCGGCUUAUCAGCUUGUUGGUGGGGUAGUGGCUUACCAAGGCUUUGACGGGUAGCCGGCCUGAGAGGGUGACCGGCCACAAUGGGACUGAGAUACGGCCCAGACUCCUACGGGAGGCAGCAGUGGGGAAUAUUGCACAAUGGGCGGAAGCCUGAUGCAGCAACGCCGCGUGCGGGAUGACGGCCUUCGGGUUGUAAACCGCUUUCGCCUGUGACGAAGCGUGAGUGACGGUAAUGGGUAAAGAAGCACCGGCUAACUACGUG
rnacentral:rRNA from 1 species